rnacentral:misc_RNA from 1 species
GAUGAAGAACGCAGCGAAAUGCGAUAAGUAGUGUGAAUUGCAGAAUUCAGUGAAUCAUCGAAUCUUUGAACGCACAUUGCGCCCCUUGGUACUCCAUGGGGCAUGCCUGUUCGAGCGUCAUUUACACCCUCAAGCUCAGCUUGGUGUUGGGCGUCUGUCCCGCUUCGUGCGCGGACUCGCCUCAAAUGCAUUGGCAGCGGUCUUGCCAGCUUCUCGCGCAGCACAUUGCGCUUCUAGAGGCUUUGGCGGAUCGGCGUCCAUCAAGUACACCCACAGUUUGACCUCGGAUCAGGUAGGGAUACCCGCUGAACUUAAGCAUAUCAAUAAGCGGAGG